UACGGAGGGGACUAGCGUUGUUCGGAAUUACUGGGCGUAAAGGGCGCGUAGGCGGCCUUCUAAGUCGAACGUGAAAUCCCCGGGCUCAACCCGGGAACUGCGUCCGAUACUGGAAGGCUUGAAUCCGGGAGAGGGAUGUGGAAUUCCAGGUGUAGCGGUGAAAUGCGUAGAUAUCUGGAGGAACACCGGUGGCGAAGGCGACAUCCUGGACCGGUAUUGACGCUGAGGCGCGAAAGCCAGGGGAGCAAACGGG
rnacentral:rRNA from 1 species